GAUGAACGCUAGCGGCAGGCUUAACACAUGCAAGUCGAGGGGCAGCACGUCUUCGGAUGGUGGCGACCGGCGCACGGGUGCGUAACGCGUAUACAACCUACCUUAUAGAGGGGAAUAGCCCAGAGAAAUUUGGAUUAAUGCCCCAUAGUAUUAUUGAAUAGCAUUGUUUAAUGAUUAAACAUUUAUGGCUAUAAGAUGGGUAUGCGUUCUAUUAGCUAGAUGGUAAGGUAACGGCUUACCAUGGCGACGAUAGAUAGGGGUCCUGAGAGGGAGAUCCCCCACACUGGUACUGAGACACGGACCAGACUCCUACGGGAGGCAGCAGUGAGGAAUAUUGGACAAUGGGCGAGAGCCUGAUCCAGCCAUGCCGCGUGCAGGAAGACGGCCCUAUGGGUUGUAAACUGCUUUUAUACGGGAAGAAACACUCCUUCGUGAAGGAGCUUGACGGUACCGUAAGAAUAAGGAUCGGCUAACUCCGUGCCAGCAGCCGNGGU
rnacentral:rRNA from 1 species